rnacentral:rRNA from 1 species
CGGUGAAGGACGGAGCUUGCUCUGUCUGGAUCAGUGGCGAACGGGUGAGUAACACGUGAGUAACCUGCCCCAGACUCCGGAAUAAGCGCUGGAAACGGCGUCUAAUACCGGAUACGAGACGGAGAGGCAUCUCUACCGUCUGGAAAGUUCUUCGGUCUGGGAUGGACUCGCGGCCUAUCAGCUUGUUGGUGAGGUAAUGGCUCACCAAGGCAACGACGGGUAGCCGGCCUGAGAGGGCGACCGGCCACACUGGGACUGAGACACGGCCCAGACUCCUACGGGAGGCAGCAGUGGGGAAUAUUGCACAAUGGGCGAAAGCCUGAUGCAGCGACGCCGCGUGAGGGAUGACGGCCUUCGGGUUGUAAACCUCUUUCAGCAGGGAAGAAGCGAAAGUGACGGUACCUGCAGAAGAAGCACCGGCUAACUACGUGCCAGCAGCCGCGGUAAUACGUAGGGUGCGAGCGUUGUCCGGAAUUAUUGGGCGUAAAGAGCUUGUAGGCGGUCUGUCGCGUCUGCUGUGAAAAUCCGGGGCUCAACCCCGGACUUGCAGUGGGUACGGGCAGACUAGAGUGUGGUAGGGGAGACUGGAAUUCCUGGUGUAGCGGUGAAAUGCGCAGAUAUCAGGAGGAACACCGAUGGCGAAGGCAGGUCUCUGGGCCACUACUGACGCUGAGAAGCGAAAGCAUGGGGAGCGAACAGGAUUAGAUACCCUGGUAGUCCAUGCCGUAAACGUUGGGCGCUAGGUGUGGGACUCAUUCCACGAGUUCCGUGCCGCAGCUAACGCAUUAAGCGCCCCGCCUGGGGAGUACGGCCGCAAGGCUAAAACUCAAAGGAAUUGACGGGGGCCCGCACAAGCGGCGGAGCAUGCGGAUUAAUUCGAUGCAACGCGAAGAACCUUACCAAGGCUUGACAUAUACCGGGAAACAUCUAGAAGAUAGAUGCCCCUUUUUGGUCGGUAUACAGGUGGGUGCAUGGUUUGUCGUCAGCUUCGUGUCGUGAAAAUGUUGGGGUUAAGUCC